rnacentral:rRNA from 1 species
UACGAAGGGGGCUAGCGUUGUUCGGAAUUACUGGGCGUAAAGCGCACGUAGGCGGAUACUUAAGUUAGGGGUGAAAUCCCAGAGCUCAACUCUGGAACUGCCUUUAAUACUGGGUAUCUCGAGUCCGGAAGAGGUGAGUGGAAUUCCGAGUGUAGAGGUGAAAUUCGUAGAUAUUCGGAGGAACACCAGUGGCGAAGGCGGCUCACUGGUCCGGUACUGACGCUGAGGAGCGAAAGCGUGGGUAGCAAACAGG